UGUGAGGUUAAGCGACAAAUCGUACACGGUGGAUGCCCUGGCAGUCAGAGGC
rnacentral:rRNA from 1 species